rnacentral:rRNA from 1 species
GGUAACACGUGGGUGAUCUGCCCUGCGCUUCGGGAUAAGCCUGGGAAACUGGGUCUAAUACCGGAUAGGACGAUGGUUUGGAUGCCAUUGUGGAAAGUUUUCGGUGUGGGAUGAGCUCGCGGCCUAUCAGCUUGUUGGUGGGGUAAUGGCCUACCAAGGCGUCGACGGGUAGCCGGCCUGAGAGGGUGUACGGCCACAUUGGGACUGAGAUACGGCCCAG